rnacentral:rRNA from 1 species
GAUGAACGCUAGCGGCAGGCCUAACACAUGCAAGUCGAGGGGCAGCACGUCUUCGGAUGGUGGCGACCGGCGCACGGGUGCGUAACGCGUAUGCAACCUACCUCUUACAGUGGGAUAGCUCAGAGAAAUUUGGAUUAAUACCGCAUAGUAUACAGAUUCAGCAUUGGGACUGUAUUAAACAUUUAUGGGUAANAGAUGGGCAUGCGUUCUAUUAGUUAGUUGGAGUGGUAACGGCACCCCAAGACAGCGAUAGAUAGGGGCCCUGAGAGGGGGAUCCCCCACACUGGUACUGAGACACGGACCAGACUCCUACGGGAGGCAGCAGUGAGGAUAUUGGACAAUGGGCGAGAGCCUGAUCCAGCCAUGCCGCGUGCAGGAA